rnacentral:rRNA from 1 species
GACGAACGCUGGCGGCGUGCUUAACACAUGCAAGUCGAACGCUGAAGCUCAGCUUUUGUUGGGUGGAUGAGUGGCGAACGGGUGAGUAACACGUGAGUAACCUGCCCCCUUCUUUGGGAUAACGCCCGGAAACGGGUGCUAAUACUGGAUAUUCACUGGUCUUCGCAUGGGGGUUGGUGGAAAGGGUUUUUCUGGUGGGGGAUGGGCUCGCGGCCUAUCAGCUUGUUGGUGGGGUGAUGGCCUACCAAGGCUUUGACGGGUAGCCGGCCUGAGAGGGUGACCGGUCACAUUGGGACUGAGAUCCGGCCCAGACUCCUACGGGAGGCAGCAGUGGGGAAUAUUGCACAAUGGGCGCAAGCCUGAUGCAGCGACGGCGCGUGAGGGAUGGAGGCCUUCGGGUUGUGAACCUCUUUCGCUCAUGGUCAAGCCGCAACAAUGGUUGUGGUGAGGGUAGUGGGUAAAGAAGCGCCGGCUAACUACGUG